AUGACAGUAAUAAUCUCCUGCAUCUUCAAGCUGGGCAUCACUGAUGUGAAUGAGAAUGAAUUAUUGUGGAGGAUUUUUGGUGGAGGAACCAAACUGACUGUUGAAACUGCCGCUCGUCCCUCUCUCACGGUCCUGCCGCCCUCCAGAGACGAGCUGAUUGGGUUUGUAUCACUGUGGCGCACGUUCGGUGGAGGAACUCGACUCUCAGUUGGAACUGCCGCUCGUCCCACUCUCACGGUCCUGCCGCCCUCCAGAGACGAGCUGCAGCAGGGUAAGGCUACAGUGGUGUGUGUGGGCAGUAAGGGAUUCCCCUCUGACUGGAAGCUGAGCUGGAAGGUGGAUGGCAGCAGCAGGAGCUCUGCUGUGAAUCUGAGUCCCAGUGUGCUGCAGAAGGAUGGACUGUACAGCUGGAGCAGCAGCCUGAGCCUCACUGAGAGUGAGUGGAGCAGAGCAACAACCAUCAGCUGUGACGCCAAGCACCCAUCCCAGAAUGCAGUGACCGAGAGCCUGAACACACAGCAGUGUGAUGACCACUGAAACACACACACAUCACACAGAGAUUAUAGGCAUGCAUAUUUCAUUUACACUCACAUAUAUGCAGCUAUUUCAAAGGACUGUCCUAAAUCAGUCAAUGCUCAACAAUUAAUCCUUCGUUCUGUUAUUGUUCAAAUAUUCUUAUCUGUUGUUACAGCAAUGAUGUGUUUGUUGUUUUAUUGCUGACAAAUAAAAGCAUUUUGACUCAAA